rnacentral:rRNA from 1 species
UGGCGGACGGGUGAGUAAUGUCUGGGAAACUGCCUGAUGAGGGGAUAACUACUGGAAACGGUAGCUAAUACCGCAUAACGUCGCAAGACCAAAGAGGGGGACCUUCGGGCCUCUUGCCAUCGGAUGUGCCCAGAUGGGAUUAGCUAGUAGGUGGGGUAACGGCUCACCUAGGCGACGAUCCCUAGCUGGUCUGAGAGGAUGACCAGCCACACUGGAACUGAGACACGGUCCAG